UCUUCGUCCCGCCCACUGCCUCUCCAUCCCUCAGACUCUUCUGGAGCGGUGCCAUUGGCUGUGCCCUCUGCCUGUCUCCAGGGUCUUCAUGAAUCACCAGUCUCAGAAAAGCAGUCCGCUCCAGAAUUCAGAUUUCCAACCGUCUGAACUCGGCAUAGAUCAUCAGCAGAUCCAACAAAAGGAGCUUGGGAACAUUUUCUAUCCCUUUCAAACCUCCAACUGCUCUGUCCCGCACUCCCCUUCAUCUCCUACUUUAAAUGGAAAAAAAUAGACAUUGUCAGCCAGGAAACACCUUCGUUUUCCUUCCAAAUCCACUAACCUAUUUUCAUCUGUGUUUAUCUUUCUUCCCUCUUGUCACAAGGCAGAAGGGCAGCGACCCUUCGCAUGGGGGGAGGCCAGUCUUCCCUUGUGAGUUCCCGAUCCCAUCCCCAUGCCGUCUCAGAGACCCUGCCCCACUGCUUAGCCCCUCUGCUCCCUGAAUCCUGUCACUGCCUCUCUAACGGGACCUUGCCAUCAGCAUCCGAACAGUGCCUCCUUUCUGACCGUCCCUAUCCACAACACACUCUGUCCUCUUCACAGUCAAGCCCUUUGAAGAGCAGACACCUGCCCACACGCGCUGCCUCCACCUCCCCACCUUGGAGUCACCUUCCACUCCUCCCAUUUGGUGAGGGGAAGAGGCACCAGAUAUCUCUUUUUCUGCCUGUGCACAGAGAAGAGGCCAUGAGAAGACAUAGCAAGAAGGCAACCAUAUGCAAGCCAGGAAGAGAGCCUUCACCAGAAUCCAACCCUGACAGGACCUUGAUCCUGGACCUCCAGGCUUCAGAACUGUUGUUUAAGCUACUAGUCUGUGAUAUUUUGUUCUGGCAGCCUGAACAACCUAAUACACAGUCUUAAGAGGUAGAUAUCAUCCCCAUUUAUAGAUGAAGAAACUGAGGCUCAGAGGGUUUGACUUUACUAAGAUUGAAGGGUAGUAAGCCACUCUGAGCAUGUCCUGGAUGUAGUGCCAUGCCCUGUAAUGUACCAUCCAAUGAGACCAGGAAUCAACUGGGCCUUCACUUGACCAAAGGAUGAUAUAUAGGCCUAUCAUUGAUACGUUAGUGUGAGCAACAAAUGCCAGAACCAGAUGAUACCAGUUGCAAACACUAGACCACAGCCAGGAAAGACCAUUUCAUGUCAUGACAUCACCAUCUUGUUUGAGUGAAUGCUGCAGCUACCAUUGUGGGGCAUUGCUAGAGACCAUGUCCUGGCAUGUGGGAAACUACAACUACUGACCCAAUCAAGGAACUCAAUUCACCCUCCUCAAUAUACAGGAUUGGCUGCGUUUCUGGACACAAUCUGGACUUUCUACCCAUUGUACCAUCUGUAAGAGGCAGUGGGGUAAAUAAAAUAUAGAAAUUAAAGAGAAGGCCAAAGUAUCACUUGACAUUAGCAUAAAGUAAGU